rnacentral:lncRNA from 1 species
AGUUUCAAUAUGGUACGCUGGGUGGUUUCCCACAAACAACCAACAAACUAGGUUCCGAGUUGCUAGUUCGUAUAUACCUCCGCUCUAUGAAGGAAUCGUUUAGCCCAGAUACCAUACAUCAACUAUUAAAGAGUACAAUUGCACCACACUUAAAUAAAACUCUCUAUUCUUAACUUCCUUACCAAUCUCUUCUAAUAGACAUUGUCUAUUUAUUAUCACCUUACAUCCUUAUUAUUGGAGUUUGGUAACCCCACAUUCAUAUUCCUUAUAACUCUGCGAGAUUCUUCUUUGAAUCCUCUUUUGCAUGUUUUAAUCCCUUCUUUAUAAAAUUCUUAAAUUACUUCUUAUUGUUCAAACUCUAUUUGACCUUAUUCAUUCAUUAUCUUCACCUCUUUUCUCUAAGGUUAUAGCCUAAGGUACUCCUACCUAAGAUUUAUAAUCUACAACUUUGAUACCAACUGUAACGACCCCAAAAUCCAUACAAUUAAAUCUCAACUUCGG